rnacentral:pre_miRNA from 1 species
UGCACGUCCUUGUAUUAGGUUGAUGCAAAAGCAAGUGAGUUUUUCGCAAUUACACUUCUAAUUGCAAAAACCACAAUUUCUUUUGCACCAACCUAAUACUUGAUUGCA